rnacentral:rRNA from 1 species
UACGGAGGGGGCUAGCGUUGUUCGGAAUUACUGGGCGUAAAGCGCAUGUAGGCGGCUUUGUAAGUUAGAGGUGAAAGCCCAGGGCUUAACCCUGGAAUUGCCUUUAAGACUGCAUCGCUAGAAUCGUGGAGAGGUAAGUGGAAUUCCGAGUGUAGAGGUGAAAUUCGUAGAUAUUCGGAAGAACACCAGUGGCGAAGGCGACUUACUGGACACGUAUUGACGCUGAGGUGCGAAAGCGUGGGGAGCAAACAGG